GCGAAGCAGAGGCGGAAUUAGCAGUGUUCACGUUAACGGUAUGGUUUUACUUUGAUGAUGACAGUAGUCAGCUUCACUUGUGAGUGAGAGCUCACACCUCUCACAUCCGUGAUCUGUGCGGUUUGACAAGAACCUGACAGUUUAUAAAAAGCUCGUAGAGAAGUUAACUUUUCAGAAAAUUUGCGGGGAAACUUUUCUGAAGAUAAUGUGAAUUUACUACUCUGGACAAUUACGAUCCAUAAAGUAAGAUGGGACAUCUUAAUAUCAGAACUGUCUGCAAAAGAGCAGUGCUUUUGCUCUAUGUCAUUCUUCAGGGUUUGAAUGCACAGAACAGUGAUCAAGCCUCCACCACAAUAAUCUCUCCACCAAUUGUGUCUCCAACAUCAGCACCUUCAACAACAUCUGCCAAUGCAAGUUCUACAACUGAGUCUCAAACAGCAACACCUACAAAUUCUUCAUCAACUGAGUCUCUGACCUCAACAGCACCUUUAAGUGAGUAUUUUAUUCAUGGACUAUUUAAACAGGAAAACAAGGUCAUAAUUCAGCUGGGGUGCUGGAAUACAAUUGUGUUUAUUGCAAAACUGUCUCAAAAUUUUAUUUUCAAUUCACAAUUGCCAUGGUCAAAAGAAUUGUCAUAAUGGUAUAUUAAAAUGAUAUAUCCAAUAGAAGUAUUAAAACAAAUGAAAACAAACAAACCAAAAAUUUUGACAAAUACAUAUUUGUUUUAUUUUUUUCUCAUAAAUGAGACCAUUUCCUAUAAAAUUAACAAAUUCUAGCUAAUUGAUAACUAUUUUUAUCUUAGUACUAGUGGUGCAAAUUGCACAUUUUGUCAAGAUAUGGCAUAAUACCAUUGAUACCAUGUAUAAUAUUUGUGUAUACAUUAAAACGUUCUGCAGGGAUCAGGGUGGAGCCAAACUGGAGUCUCUCUCUGAUCCCCCGGGCUCUGCACUGGAUGGGGAAAUUCCAAAUUGAAUCAAAACAAACGUUACAAUUGGCAAAGAAAAUGUGGGAAUCACUCAACCAGCAGAACCUGGGAAUAAAAAAAAAGUAAUGCAGAAUAAUUUGGACAAUUCAAUUAGGUGG
rnacentral:lncRNA from 1 species